rnacentral:rRNA from 1 species
GGUUAAGCGACUAAGCGUACACGGUGGAUGCCCUGGCAGUCAGAGGCGAUGAAGGACGUGCUAAUCUGCGAUAAGCGUCGGUAAGGUGAUAUGAACCGUUAUAACCGGCGAUUUCCGAAUGGGGAAACCCAGUGUGAUUCGUCACACUAUCAUUAACUGAAUCCAUAGGUUAAUGAGGCGAACCGGGGGAACUGAAACAUCUAAGUACCCCGAGGAAAAGAAAUCAACCGAGAUUCCCCCAGUAGCGGCGAGCGAACGGGGAGCAGCCCAGAGCCUGAAUCAGUGUGUGUGUUAGUGGAAGCGUCUGGAAAGGCGCGCGAUACAGGGUGACAGCCCCGUACACAAAAAUGCACAUAUUGUGAGCUCGAUGAGUAGGGCGGGACACGUGGUAUCCUGUCUGAAUAUGGGGGGCCCAUCCUCCAAGGCUAAAUACUCCUGACUGACCGAUAGUGAACCAGUACCGUGAGGGAAAGGCGAAAAGAACCCCGGCGAGGGGAGUGAAAAAGAACCUGAAACCGUGUACGUACAAGCAGUGGGAGCACGCUUAGGCGUGUGACUGCGUACCUUUUGUAUAAUGGGUCAGCGACUUAUAUUCUGUAGCAAGGUUAACCGAAUAGGGGAGCCGAAGGGAAACCGAGUCUUAACUGGGCGUUAAGUUGCAGGGUAUAGACCCGAAACCCGGUGAUCUAGCCAUGGGCAGGUUGAAGGUUGGGUAACACUAACUGGAGGACCGAACCGACUAAUGUUGAAAAAUUAGCGGAUGACUUGUGGCUGGGGGUGAAAGGCCAAUCAAACCGGGAGAUAGCUGGUUCUCCCCGAAAGCUAUUUAGGUAGCGCCUCGUGAAUUCAUCUCCGGGGGUAGAGCACUGUUUCGGCAAGGGGGUCAUCCCGACUUACCAACCCGAUGCAAACUGCGAAUACCGGAGAAUGUUAUCACGGGAGACACACGGCGGGUGCUAACGUCCGUCGUGAAGAGGGAAACAACCCAGACCGCCAGCUAAGGUCCCAAAGUCAUGGU